UCACUGCCCCUCAGGGGGCAGGGGGCUGGUGAUUCCUGAGGGAGCCCUGCCCCCUUCCAGGGUGAAUUUUCCUAAGUCACCAUGGAGAACCAGCAGCCCAGAAUCAGUGCCCUGCCAGGCAGAAUUGCUUGGCCAUAACAAAGAUCCAUUGCCUUUCUGAUGACACCCAGCACCUCGGAUUCUGUAUACACGGGAGGUGAUUUAAGCAUCUUACUGCCACCCUGAAAUCUGGGGUCCUUUAUCCUGGCAGCAUCUAGACCCGUAACGCCCACUUCAGAAUGGGAGGGAGGAUGUCUGCUGCCCUGUCGUCUCCACACCCGAGGAAUGUCCGUGUGUGUGUGUGUGUGUGGUGUGCACAGCGGGCUGCACACAGCGGGCUCCACGGUGCUCGAAUGGAGGCCCUAAUGUGAAUGGAGACUAGCCUGCUGGUAGAGACCUUGGCAGUGACCGCUGUGGGCAAUGAGCCAUGGGCCAACAAUAUUCAAUGCUGUGUACCUGAUGGAUGGUUACUGUCUGAGACUGAGGCUUUUUGGGCCAGGAGUAAAAGGACUUGGUUUGUACUUGAUUGCGUCCUGUGGAUGCUUGCCUACCAACUGACUCAUCCUGACGUGCCAAAGGUCCUGGCUUUCCCCUGUGUGGGUAAGGGAAGAAGAGAGUUCUAAUGAGAGCGUGGCUGGCAUCACUUCAUGAUUACAUUCUGGGAAAGAUCUUGCCUGUUAACCUCUAGAGAAGGAGGGACGAUACAGACAAUGGACUCACAAUUGCUGAUGUAUAGGUUCUAAUGUUUUCUAUUGUGGACACGGGACACCCAGACUGAGGUUCGUGGAUUUUUGAAAUUUCUAAUAAUAAGAUAAAUUUGUGACUUAAUUUUGAGUGGAUGAA
ensembl:processed_transcript Rian RNA imprinted and accumulated in nucleus